CGGAUAGAGCCAGCGAAGUCGCCCGUAUUCAGCCAAAGACUCGGGUCUGACAGCUGUCGUGUUUCUAAUCGAGCACGGCAGUUGCCAAGGCCUGUUUCGAGGUGCAUUUGCGGGUGUUUGCGCUGAGACUUGCGGAGCAGCUUCUGGAACCGUGCUUAGAGGCUUCCCUCUGGGUUGUACCUGGGCGCAGCUACAGAUGUUUGCUCUGCUCGUACUUGGGCUUGGCCUACGGACUCGGGCUGCGCCGUUGUUGUCUGGCGGUGGUAACGCAUGCGUUACCUAGCCUGGUAGCGGCGGUUCGGCUUGCUGUCCUCUAGCCCAUUCUCGGUGUAGAAGCUGGUCAUCUCUCCGACCCGUCUUGAAACACGGACCAAGGAGUUUAGCGUAUACGCGAGCCAUUCGGUGCAAAACCGACAGGCAGAAUGAAAGUAAAGGUCCAGUUGCUGGACUGACAUGCGAACGCCACGGCUUCGGCCCUGGUGUGCAGCAUGGUCCCGUUGCGGUCGCUUGCGACGCAGCGGAGACAGAGCGUAUGCGCUGAG
rnacentral:rRNA from 1 species